rnacentral:rRNA from 2 species
GAAGCGAGUGGCGAACUGGUGAGUAACACGUGGGGAAUCUGCCCAGAAGCAGGGGAUAACACUUGGAAACAGGUGCUAAUACCGUAUAACAACAAAAUCCGCAUGGAUUUUGUUUGAAAGGUGGCUUCGGCUAUCACUUCUGGAUGAUCCCGCGGCGUAUUAGUUAGUUGGUGAGGUAAAGGCCCACCAAGACGAUGAUACGUAGCCGACCUGAGAGGGUAAUCGGCCACAUUGGGACUGAGACACGGCCCAAACUCCUACGGGAGGCAGCAGUAGGGAAUCUUCCACAAUGGACGAAAGUCUGAUGGAGCAAUGCCGCGUGAGUGAAGAAGGGUUUCGGCUCGUAAAACUCUGUUGUUAAAGAAGAACACCUUUGAGAGUAACUGUUCAAGGGUUGACGGUAUUUAACCAGAAAGCCACGGCUAACUACGUGCCAGCAGCCGCGGUAAUACGUAGGUGGCAAGCGUUGUCCGGAUUUAUUGGGCGUAAAGCGAGCGCAGGCGGUUUUUUAAGUCUGAUGUGAAAGCCUUCGGCUUAACCGGAGAAGUGCAUCGGAAACUGGGAGACUUGAGUGCAGAAGAGGACAGUGGAACUCCAUGUGUAGCGGUGGAAUGCGUAGAUAUAUGGAAGAACACCAGUGGCGAAAGCGGCUGUCUAGUCUGUAACUGACGCUGAGGCUCGAAAGCAUGGGUAGCGAACAGGAUUAGAUACCCUGGUAGUCAUGCGUAACGAUGAGUGCUAAGUGUUGAGGGUUUCGCCCUCAGUGCUGCAGCUACGCAUAGCACUC